rnacentral:misc_RNA from 1 species
GAUAACCAUAUCACACACUAUCAGCAGUUGGAGGUCUUUGAUACUCUCAAAGAAGCUCUAAAAAUCACUGGCAAAAACAUCAGCUUCUUAAUCAUCACCUUGUUUGCAUCUCUUCCUCUGUUCUUCUUCUCAGUUUACUAUGAAAUUUUGCUCCAAACAACUCUGGUUGAAGCCAUAAAGAUUCUAACACCACCUCCAGGCUACUACAACUACAAUUGGCCAAUCCCAG